rnacentral:sRNA from 1 species
AUUUGCCAAGAGGACUGGUGAUGAAAUCCUAUGGCUGAUAGAGGCUUGCCUGUCCUCUGACUGACAGAAUUUCCUGCUAGUUUCUCUGGAGUCAGGCUAAUUCCCUUCCCUCCCCCAACUUGAGCUCUAAUUUUCAUAAACACACCCAUGUACAGCCUGAGAGCUCCUGAUAAGGAAGAGGCUCCCACAGAAGCUGGAAAAGGUCAGCAGAUGUGCCUUCCUGGUUGGUUGAGACACUGAUCAUACAGCACUCCCGCUGUGCCUCAGCAGUGAGCUGGGUGUAAAGGCGGGAGGCUUGCUGGGGUCUGACACUUCCCUGCCCUCCUCCAGGAGGGACACAUCUGGGGCUCUAUGAGGAGGACAGCUUUCAUCCUGGGUUCUGGACUUCUCUCAUUUGUGGCCUUCUGGAACUCAGUGACAUGGCAUCUUCAGAGAUUUUGGGGUGCUUCUGGCUACUUUUGGCAAGCCCAGUGGGAGAGGCUGCUGACUACAUUUGAAGGGAAGGAGUGGAUCCUCUUCUUUAUAGGUGCCAUCCAAGUGCCUUGUCUCUUCUUCUGGA